UACGUAGGGCGCAAGCGUUGUCCGGAAUUAUUGGGCGUAAAGAGCUCGUAGGCGGUUUGUCGCGUCUGCUGUGAAAGCCCGGGGCUUAACCCCGGGUGUGCAGUGGGUACGGGCAGACUUGAGUGCAGUAGGGGAGACUGGAACUCCUGGUGUAGCGGUGAAAUGCGCAGAUAUCAGGAAGAACACCGAUGGCGAAGGCAGGUCUCUGGGCUGUUACUGACGCUGAGGAGCGAAAGCAUGGGGAGCGAACAGGAUUAGAUACCCGAGUAGU
rnacentral:rRNA from 1 species